CCUGUAGAGACAAAAGACACAGAAAGGAGAAGGGGUCCAGACACAGGUGGAGCCCUUUAGGAGGGGCUGGGCUGGUAUGCCUUCGCCCUGGCUUUACCCUCUGUCUGACAUGCCUUUUCUUCCUUUUUCUUUCAUUCAGAGUCCUGUAGUCAGUUUCAUCCCAGCUACCCCUACUGGGAAGGCAUAUCUUGCCCCACUAGGUAAGGUACCAAAGAAAUUAAGGUCCUCAUUCCCCUAAUCCAAAGAUGUUCAUUAAUGGGAACUGUUAUAAUCUAUAUUGGUUAUAAUCUGUAUUGAGCCAAACCAAGAUUCUCAUCUUUGUGGAGCUUACAUUGUAGCAGGGGAGACAGACUUCAAACAAUAAUCAUCCUAUAUAAUAAAAGGCUAAUAUGCAAAUAGACCGAAUGGCGGAAUGACCAGGAGCUAUGAUGUGUACUGCCCACCAAGGGGCAGAUGCUCAAUGCAGGAACUGCCCCCUGGUUGUCAGUGCAGUCCCACAGGGGGAGCCACUCAGCCAGAAGCCAGGAUGUCUGACUGCCGGCUUAGGCCUGCUCCUGUGGGGCCUAGGCCAUCAGUUGGAGAUCCCCCGAGGGCUCUGGGACUGCGAUAGGGCGUAGGCUGGGCUGAGGGACACCUCCCCCCCCCAGUGCACAAAUUUCAUGCACCGGGCCUCUAGUAAUGUAUAAAGUUAUCUAGCAUAGCCCUAGCUGGUUUGGCUCAGUGGAUAGGGUGUCAGCCUAUGUUCUGAAGGGUCCUGUGUUUGAUUCCAGUCAAGGGCACAUGCCUGGGUUGUGGGCUUGAUCCCCAGUAGGGGGUGUGCAGGAGGCAGCUGAUCAAUGAUUCUCUCUCAUCAUUGAUGUUUCUAGCUCUCUCUCCCUUCCUUUUUGAAAUCAAUAAAAAUAUAUUUAAAAAUAAAAUAAAGUUAUCUAGUAUAACAUAAAGUGAUAAUAAGUGAAAUAGAAGAACAAAAAAUAGACCAGGCUGAGGGGUUAGGAGUUCCAGUAAGGGAAGGAAGGUUGCUGUAGUAAGUAGGGUAGUCAGAGAAGUAACAUUGGAAUAAGAAAUUAAGGAGGUGAAGGAAUGAACCAUGCAGAUAACUAGGGGGUGAGAGAGCAUUCCAAGCAGGGGGUACAGGGAGUGCAAAGGUCCUUGGGUGGGGCCACAUUUAGUGUUUUUGAGGUACAGCAAGGAAGUCAAUGGGGCUUGAGUGGAAUGAGCAAGGGAGAGUGGUGGGAGGUGAUGUCAGGGAGGUAGGUAAUGGGGUCUCAUAGGACUAGGUUGUGAGGACAUCAGCUUUAACUCUGGAUGAGGUGUAAGCCAUGGGAAGAUUCUGAGCAGAGAAGAAUAAAAAGACAUGCUAUGUUGUUGCUAUUUUCUCAAUAAAUGUUUCUUAACAUUAGUAGUGCUGUAAGUGGUAUGUGCACAGCAUGAAUAUGUCUUGGUUACAUUCCAUAGUCUAGCGGAAGAGACAGCCAAUAAAUGUAUAAACUAAACCCUGGCUGGGGAGCUCAGUUAGUUAGAAUGUCAUCCUGAUAUGCCAAGGUUUCAGGUUUGAUCCCAGGUCAGGGCAUAUACAAGAAUCAACCAAUGAAUGCAUAAAUGAGUGGAACAACAAAUUGACCUCUCUCUCUCUCUCUCUCUCUCUCUCAAAUUAAUAAAAUAUAUAUAAACUAAUAAUUACAAACUGUGGUAAAGAAAAGCACAGGGUACUAUGAGAGAGGUAAGAAAUGGGACUUGUAAGGACCUGGCCAGGUGAGGUUAUCAGCGUGUGUGGUUGUAAAACUCCAAUAGGAAAGCAAGUACCAAGGUAAGGCCCUGAAGUUGGAUUGUGCCUGGAACAUCGAGGUGACCACUGUGGCUGGAACAGUGUGUGUGUGUGGGGGGGGGGGAGGGUAAGAGGUGAGAGGUCAGAGAAAUGAGGGGAGGGGCUUGUGUAAGGCCCUGUGAAGCCUUUGACUUUCAAUCUGAGUCAGAUUGGAACCCUGGCAGAGCUCUGAGCACAGGAGGAAGGUGGCCUGACUUUUUAAAAAGUAUUUUUAUUGAUUUCAGAGAGGAAGGGAGAGGGAGAGAGAGAAAUAUCUCUAUGAUGAGAGAGAAUCAUUGAUUGGCUGCCUCCUGUAUGCCCCCCACCGGGGAUCAAGCCUGUAACUAGGGCGUGUGCCCUUGACCAGAAUCGAACCUGGGACCCUUCAGUCUACAGGCUGAUGCUCUAUCCACUGAGUGAAACCAGCUAGGGCUUAACUUAAGCUUUAAUGGGGUCUCUCUCAAUGCUGUGAAUAGAACAGAAUGGGAAUGGGGGUGGAAAUGUAAGAUGUCUGGGGGAGAUGACAGUGAGUAGUGGGAAGACUGUAGAUUAUAUUUGAAGGUAGAGCCAACAGGAUUUUUUUUUUUUUUUGACAAAUUAGAUGUGAGAUGCGUAAGAAACUGCUCCCUGCCCUUUCCAUUCUGGUCAAGUGCCAAAAGCUACCUCCAUCCACGUGUUGCCACCUCCUUGCCUUUUCCCUCUCAUGACAUCCACCCUGCCUCUUCUCCCCUUCUUCCUCCCCCUCAUGUACGAGGAAAAUCUCACUUUUCUUUUCCAGGUCGGGCAAGCCUUUCCAAUAACCCCACUCCAUCCCUUUUUUCCUUUUUUGAAAUUCCAAACCACCUCCCCCACCUGAAGAGUUGGGGAGAGGUGGCAGAUGAAUCACCUCCUCCCGGAUUGGUGAGCUUGUUUGAUCGUCAUGAUUCAAGCCAGUCUACUCUCACCAUCUAUUGGCCUUAUCAUAAUAUAUUGGCUUACCAAUCAUUUCUAAGACCAUUUCCUUUUCUCUGAAAGGCUCCGCUGCUCCGCUAAUUCUCCACAACGCUAAUCCCUCUGCUAUUCCCUCCUUUCAUUGGUUGCUCUGCCUGUUUCUCUGUCCCCUUCCUUCCCUCGGAGCUGCACUUCUACCUCUCCCAUUGGCUCUUAACUCUUCCCAUCUUCAAGCAUCACUCUCCUCCUUUCCAUUCAUUGGAUAGGUUUUCGCUCUUGUACCGGUAGCUAGCUGUACCUCUGUAUUGGUUCCUUCAAACUCCCACCCUCACUGGUCUGGCCUGCGUUCACGUAACAUUUACUAUGGACUCUUAUUGGUUCACUGACCCGCCCAUCUCAUUGCAGGUACCCUCCUUGGCCGCACCGCCCGCCCGUCACUCACCAGACUACAUCUGAUUGGAGAAGGAGGUGGGCGCACCCUGAGGGCCAUAGCCUUGCUGCCCGUAGUCGCCCUGAGGCCCAUAGCCACCAACGGUGCCCGCAGCGGGCUGCCCGUAAUCGGGCUGGUAGCCGCCCUGAGGCCCGUAGGAAUCCUGGGGCCCGUACCCGCCAGGGCCCUGCCCAUAGCCCGCCUCGCCGUAGGCGUCCCCAGGCGCUGGUUGCUUCUCAGGGGCACCAGGAGGUGCGCGUAGGAAUGGGGCGGACCAGCCUGUCUCCUUGAACACAAACCACAGGUUGCCGAACCAGAGCACCAGGUUCAGGAAGCCGAACACCUGCGGAGAGAUAAAGCCAGGCUGUCGUCCCACUCCCGUUGCCUUGGCGGCCCCAGGUAACUUCGAGGCAGUGCGCUUCAGGCAUGGAUCCUCGGGCUUCUGAAGGGUGGUGGUUUCAGAAACCCAGACCACCGAGUCCCAGCUCAUGAACGUCAGUGUGCAGAAAAACCACUUUGGGGGGUGGGGAAGUAGGGCGUGUUAGAAUUCAGAUUCCUGGGCCCGGCCAGCAUGGCUCAGUGGUUGGGCAUCGACCUAUGAACCAGGAGGUCAUGGUUCAAUUCCCAGUCAGGGCACAUGCCCGGGUUGUGGGCUCAAUCCCCAGUACAGGGUGUGCAGGAGGCAACUGAUUAAUGAUUCUCUCUCAUUGAUGUUUCUCUCCCUCUCCCUCCCCCUAUCUGCAAUCAAUAAAAACAUAUUUAAAAAAGAAUUCAGAUUCCUGGGAUGUUGGGAUCUAGUAAUAUUGCAUACAUUUGUUUAUAUAUUUGCACAUUUACCUGUUACACAUGCACAUUUAUCUAUAAUAAUAAAAGCGUAAUAUGCUAAUUGGACCUGAAGACCUUCCGGUGGAAGCCUGGGCUGUGACGGAAGCCCGGUCAGAGUGCCAGAGGGAAGCCAGGUGCUGGCAGCUGGGGGAAGGAAGGCCUACACUUGUAUGAAUUCCGUGCAUUGGGCCUCUAGUAUUUGUAUAAACUAUAGUAAAAUCUAAAUUUGUGAUAUAGUAAAAUAUUAAGCAUAAACUUUUUUUCUUUAUUUUUUAAAAAUAUAUUUUUAUUGAUUUCAGAGAGGGAGAAAGAUAGAAACAUCAAUGAUGAGAGAGAAUCAUUGAUUGGCUGCCUCCUGCAAGCCCCCCACUGGGGAUUGAGCCCACAACCCAAGCAUGUGCCCUUGACUGGAAUCGAACUGGGAACCCUUCAGUCCGCAGGCCAAUGCUCUAUCCACUGAGCCAAACCAGAUAGGGCUAAGCAUAUACUUUGAUUAAAUAUAUAAAUGUACCACUAAUAGAUGGGGAAGUGCGCAUAUAUAUAUAUAUAUACACAAAUAUAUGUAUAACUGCACAUCUAUAAAGUAUAUAAGCAUACUUUUAUAUUAAAACAAAUACAUGUUGCCCAGCCGGUAUGACUCAGUGGUUGAGCAUGAACCUAUGGACCAGGAGGUCAUGGUUGGAUUCCUCGUCAGGGCACAUGCUCAGGUUGCCAGGCUCAACCCCUAGUGAGGGACGUGUAGGAGGCAGCUAAUCAAUGAUUCUCUCUCAUCAUUGAUGUUUCUAUCUCUCUCCCUCUGCCUUCCUCUCUGAAAUCAAUACAAAUAUAUUUUUAAAAAAGAAAAAAGGCUCCAGAGGGUACUGAGUUGCUGGAGAUUUUACAUGAUGAGGCUGGGGCUGAGAUCCAAGUCUCCCAAACUUAAUUGUACAGAAGAUCUCAUGUUCCCCUCUUGAGGACAGUUUGUGGUGUCACAGUAGUUACAAUUGCUAUCUAAUCCUUCAAGGCUCUGUUGUUGGUAUGCCUUCUCUGGAUAUCUGAACUCUCUUAUUCUCUCUCUCCACCACAUCCCAUGCCAGACUAUAAGUGACCUAACCUCCCUCCCCAGCCAGCUUGGCCAGCUUCCCAGGGCUCACCACAGAGGUGUUGAGGCCAGAGGUCACAGGGUCUCUUAUCUCCUUGCAUGUAUUCUCCUUCUGGUGGCAGCUAGGUAUCCCCUUGAUAAUGGUCUCUGGGUCUGUGGCCAUCUUCACGUCCGACAGCCCCUUGGCCCAUGCCGAUGAGCAAACCAGCCACAUGAAGGCAAACACUGCCGUGGCCAGGAAGUCCUAGGAUGGGCAGGGGAGAGGAAGAUGACACUUGUGAGUGGGCUGCUUCAUACUGGGUUGUGGGACCACCUCAGAUCACAGGUUUUCUUGGGAGAGGGGAGUCCCUCAGAAGAGGUCUGUCUCUCCUCUACCCUUUCCCCAGCACUCGCUUGAAGGUGGCCCUCCUGGCUUGGGCUUGUGGGUGACACAGAGGAUGUGAGAGUGUGAUUGUUGAUAUGUGUGUGUGGGUGUGGGGGAAUUCUGGGGGAUGGUUGUCGAAUCUGUGAAAAGUACUGUGUCUUUCCACUUUCGUCUGAAUGUGGGAAUAUGUGUCAUUAUGUGUCUGGGAUGAGGGUAUAUGAGUACAGCUGUGUAGGAAUCAGUGUGUCUGUGUGGCAUGACAAGCACGACUAUCACAGUGAACCUCUGUGUGCUCCUUCCUUUGAUCUAGACUGUGUGGUUGUGUGAGAGGUAGCAGGUUUCAGGUGUAGGCCUGUCUGGGAUUCUGUGUGGGCUGUGAGUGUGUCUCUGUCACUAUGAUUUAGUGUUCAGCACCAGCAGCAGUCGCAUGUGUGGCUGUUAUGAUGGCUGCUUGCAUGUGGGCCUGUCUGGGAUUUGGUGUGACCCGUGAACAUGACUGGUUCCCCUGGAUCCUGCAUACAAGUGGAUGUGGGGGCUCACCAGCACUGGUCCUUUGUUGUUUUCUCGGUACUUGUUCUGCAUAAAGAUGUAGGUGGCCAGAGCCCCCAUUGAGUAGAGGAAGGCAAA